GCACCUAUAGCUCAGUGGAUAGAGCAGUGGUUUCCGGAACCAUGUGGCGGGGGUUCGAGUCCCUUUAGGUGCG
rfam:Clostridium sp. CAG:277 genomic scaffold, scf93